rnacentral:rRNA from 1 species
GACGAACGCUGGCGGCGUGCUUAACACAUGCAAGUCGAACGGAAAGGCCCUGCUUUUGUGGGGUGCUCGAGUGGCGAACGGGUGAGUAACACGUGAGUAACCUGCCCUUGACUUUGGGAUAACUUCAGGAAACUGGGGCUAAUACCGGAUAGGAGCUCCUGCUGCAUGGUGGGGGUUGGAAAGUUUCGGCUGUUGGGGAUGGAUUCGAGGCUUAUCAGCUUGUUGGUGGGGUAGUGGCUUACCAAGGCUUUGACGGGUAGCCGGCCUGAGAGGGUGACCGGCCACAUUGGGACUGAGAUACGGACCAGAAUCCAACGGGAGGCAGCGGGGGGGAAUAUUGCACAAUGGGCGGAAGCCUGAUGCAACAACGCCGCGUGCGGGAUGACGGCCUUCGAGUUGUAAACCGCUUUCGCCUGUGACGAAGCGUGAGUGACGGUAAUGGGUAAAGAAGCAACGGCUAACUACGUG